rnacentral:rRNA from 1 species
UACGUAGGCAGCAAACGUUGUUCGGAAUUACUGGGCGUAAAGAGUGUGUAGGCGGUUCCGUGUGAUUGGGGUGAAAUCUCCCGGCUUAACUGGGAGGGUGCGCCGAUAACUGCGGGGCUUGAGUAUUGGAGAGGAGAGCGGAAUUCCAGGUGUAGCGGUGAAAUGCGUAGAUAUCUGGAGGAACACCGGUGGCGAAGGCGGCAUCCUGGACCAAUAUUGACGCUGAGGCACGAAAGCGUGGGGAGCAAACAGG